rnacentral:rRNA from 1 species
GGUUCAGGAUGAACGCUAGCUACAGGCUUAACACAUGCAAGUCGAGGGGCAGCAUGGUCUUAGCUUGCUAAGGCCGAUGGCGACCGGCGCACGGGUGAGUAACACGUAUCCAACCUGCCGUCUACUCUUGGACAGCCUUCUGAAAGGAAGAUUAAUACAAGAUGGCAUCAUGAGUCCGCAUGUUCACAUGAUUAAAGGUAUUCCGGUAGACGAUGGGGAUGCGUUCCAUUAGAUAGUAGGCGGGGUAACGGCCCACCUAGUCUUCGAUGGAUAGGGGUUCUGAGAGGAAGGUCCCCCACAUUGGAACUGAGACACGGUCCAAACUCCUACGGGAGGCAGCAGUGAGGAAUAUUGGUCAAUGGGCGAGAGCCUGAACCAGCCAAGUAGCGUGAAGGAUGACUGCCCUAUGGGUUGUAAACUUCUUUUAUAAAGGAAUAAAGUCGGGUAUGGAUACCCGUUUGCAUGUACUUUAUGAAUAAGGAUCGGCUAACUCCGUGCCAGCAGCCGCGGUAAUACGGAGGAUCCGAGCGUUAUCCGGAUUUAUUGGGUUUAAAGGGAGCGUAGAUGGAUGUUUAAGUCAGUUGUGAAAGUUUGCGGCUCAACCGUAAAAUUGCAGUUGAUACUGGAUAUCUUGAGUGCAGUUGAGGCAGGCGGAAUUCGUGGUGUAGCGGUGAAAUGCUUAGAUAUCACGAAGAACUCCGAUCGCGAAGGCAGCCUGCUAAGCUGCAACUGACAUUGAGGCUCGAAAGUGUGGGUAUCAAACAGGAUUAGAUACCCUGGUAGUCCACACGGUAAACGAUGAAUACUCGCUGUUUGCGAUAUACCGCAAGCGGCCAAGCGAAAGCGUUAAGUAUUCCACCUGGGGAGUACGCCGGCAACGGUGAAACCCAAAGGAAUUGACGGGGGCCCGCACAAGCGGAGGAACAUGUGGUUUAAUUCGAUGAUACGCGAGGAACCUUACCCGGGCUUAAAUUGCAGAUGAAUUACGGUGAAAGCCGUAAGCCGCAAGGCAUCUGUGAAGGUGCUGCAUGGUUGUCGUCAGCUCGCGCCGUGAGGUGUCGGCUUAAGUGCCAUAACGAGCGCAACCCUUGUUGUCAGUUACUAACAGGUUCCGCUGAGGACUCUGACAAGACUGCCAUCGUAAGAUGUGAGGAAGGUGGGGAUGACGUCAAAUCAGCACGGCCCUUACGUCCGGGGCUACACACGUGUUACAAUGGGGGGUACAGAGGGCCGCUACCACGCGAGUGGAUGCCAAUCCCCAAAACCUCUCUCAGUUCGGACUGGAGUCUGCAACCCGACUCCACGAAGCUGGAUUCGCUAGUAAUCGCGCAUCAGCCACGGCGCGGUGAAUACGUUCCCGGGCCUUGUACACACCGCCCGUCAAGCCAUGGGAGCCGGGGGUACCUGAAGUGCGUAACCGCGAGGAGCGCCCUAGGGUAA